AGACCGAUAGCGAACAAGUACCGUGAGGGAAAGAUGAAAAGCACUUUGGAAAGAGAGUUAAACAGUACGUGAAAUUGUUAAAAGGGAAACGAUUGAAGUCAGUCGUGACUGAGAGGCUCAGCCGGUUCUGCCGGUGUAUUCCCCUCAGUCGGGUCAACAUCAGUUUUGUUCGGUGGAUAAGGGCAGUUGGAAGGUGGCACCCUCGGGUGUGUUAUAGCCAGCUGUCGCAUACAUCGGAUGAGACUGAGGAAUGCAGCUCGCCUUUAUGGCCGGGGUUCGCCCACGUUCGAGCUUAGGAUGUUGACAUAAUGGCUUUAAACGACCCGUCUUGAAACACGGACCAAG
rnacentral:rRNA from 1 species